GGGCCCGCACAAGCGGUGGAGUAUGUGGUUUAAUUCGAUGCAACGCGAAGAACCUUACCAGGGUUUGACAUCCUGCGAAUCUCUUGGAAACAGGAGAGUGCCUUCGGGAACGCAGUGACAGGUGGUGCAUGGCUGUCGUCAGCUCGUGUCGUGAGAUGUUGGGUUAAGUCCCGCAACGAGCGCAACCCACGUCUUUAGUUGCCAGCAUUUAGUUGGGCACUCUAGAGAGACCGCCGGUGAUAAACCGGAGGAAGGUGUGGAUGACGUCAAGUCAUCAUGCCCCUUAUGUCCAGGGCUGCACGCAUGCUACAAUGGCAAGUACAACGAGUCGCAAUACCGCGAGGUGGAGCAAAUCUCUUAAAGCUUGUCUCAGUUCGGAUAGGAGUCUGCAACUCGACUCCUUGAAGUUGGAGUCGCUAGUAAUCGCAAAU
rnacentral:rRNA from 1 species